rnacentral:tRNA from 1 species
GUUUAAAUAGCUUAAAUUAAAAGUAUAUUAUUGAAGAUAAUAAGAUGAUUAAAAAAUCUUUAAACA